rnacentral:tRNA from 1 species
AGGCCUUUGUGCGCAACGGUAAGCGCGUCUGACUCCAGAUCAGAAGGCUUGCGUGUUCAAAAUCACGCAAGGUCAG